GUAACGGGGAAGGAUGAGAAGCUUCGACUAAGGUUCGAUUCGAGCGUAGCGAGAAAGCGUUGCCGCAGGCAACGACCCGAAGGGCGAGGCGCAACGCGCCGAGUCAUCCUUCCCCCACCACCA
rnacentral:sRNA from 1 species